CAGAAAGAGGAGCGUUCAGUCCGGCUCUCGGCUUUUGUCUUUGUGCAGAUGCAGCUCGUCCAGCUUGUCCUGAAGGAAGGAAACCGGCAUGGAGCAACCUCUGCUUCGGUGCGGCAGCGUCUUGGCCUGGAAGGCGGGCGAGAUGAGGGCCGCCUCACUCACAGAAGUCAUCCACGCCCGAGGAAACCGGCCUGUUGCUCCGUCUCUCGCUGCUGCCUAUCGACCGCAAAUCAGCAGCAGAGCAGACCUCAUGCUGCCGCUUCCUGCAACAAAUUAAAGUUUAGAGAAGGC